rnacentral:tRNA from 1 species
GCCUGGGUGGCUCAGUCGGUUGGGCAUCUGACUUCAGCUCAGGUCAUGAUCUCACGGUUCGUGGGUUCGAGCGCCGCGUCGGGCU